AUGUACAUGCCUGUUGCUUGCCUGAGCACCAAUGAUACUUAUGUUUACGUGUUAACUGGUGAUGAAUCUAAUUCAAUGGAGUAUCUCGAGCCUUCUUGUGGGUACUUGGCCAUGAUUCCUCGGCCUUGGGACAGUCCGGUGCUAGAAAAUGCAAGUUAUGCAGAUGUUGUGAAAUCCAUGAGGAGUGGAUUUGCUGUUAUGUUUCCUCUCAGAUAUUCUACGGUGGGCGUCAUGGAAUGCCUAAGGCGCGAGAUUCGCAAGUUUCAUGAAUGGCCAGUGUCUGGAAGGAUCAUCAAGGAUUGGAUUGUGGGAAUUCUUCUGCUUGAGGGAGAUUUCGCAGACUGCGUAUUUGAUGUGACUGGAUUUCCUUAUUAUGUUGAAUACGAGCGGGGCGCCAUACUAAUUACUAUGUGGAUUGUGACAUUGACUGCAGAUCUAUGCAGGUUCUUGUUGGCACCCCUGGCUGUGUUGAUCUUUCUGGCCCACAAGUAUUGGAAAACAAGGAUCAGAAUUAAUGCAGUCGGGAAGUUCCUCCAAAUGCAACAAAUGCUUGGCCCGACAAGGUACGCCUAUACUGACAUCACCGCAGUCACGAGCCAUUUCAGAGAUAAGCUGGGUCAGGGAGGCUACGGAUCCGUGUUUAAGGGUGUGCUAUCGCCAGGCAAUGUUCAUGUCGCGGUAAAGAUGCUAGACGGUAACUCCAACUGUAAUGGAGAAGAUUUUAUCAGUGAAGUUUCAACCAUUGGCAGGAUUCACCAUGUUAAUGUGGUGCGUUUAGUGGGGUUCUGCCCGGAGGAAAUGAGACAAGCGCUCGUCUACGAGUACAUGCCUCAAGGUUCUCUCGACAAGUACAUCUUCUCGGCCGAGAAGAAUUUCUCUUGGGACAAGCUAAAUGAGAUUGCUUUGGGCAUUGCCAGAGGGAUUGAUUACUUGCAUCAGGGUUGUGACAUGCAGAUUCUCCACUUUGACAUCAAGCCGCACAACAUCCUUCUUGACAACAAUUUCAUCCCAAAAGUUGCCGACUUCGGUCUCGCAAAACUAUACCCAAGGGACAUCAGUUUUGUGCCGUCGAGAGCACUACGGGGAACUAUAGGGUACAUAGCUCCUGAGAUGAUAUCUAGGAGCUUUGGCGUCAUAUCGAGCAAGUCCGAUGUUUACAGCUUUGGGAUGAUGCUGCUGGAGAUGGCUGGAGGAAGAAGGAACGCCGAUCCGAAUACAGGAAAUUCUAGCCAAGCAUACUACCCGGCAUGGGUGUAUGACCGACUAACCCAACAAGACCAUGUGGGUGAGAUAUAUGCUCAUGUUGAUGCUCAGAUGCAUGAGUUGGAGAGGAAGUUGUGCAUCGUCGGACUAUGGUGCAUCCAGAUUCUCAUGACAGGCCGACGAUGA
rnacentral:rRNA from 1 species